rnacentral:lncRNA from 1 species
AGGGAGCUGAGCUGGUCCCUCUGUGUGUCAGGGGUAUGUGUCAGUGGGCCGAGAGUUGACGACCUCCGUGAGCAUGGCUCCUGAGAAAGCAGAGGGCCAAGAAUAGGGCAGGGCAGGAUGGCUGCAGGAGAGAGCCCUGGUCAUCUCCCUUCCCUGCCUCACUCUUGUCCCCAUCAGGUUUCCUCAAGUCCCGAGAACGCUCCAGCCACAAGCUGUACUCUCAGCUGCUGCACACGCAGAUGUUCUCACAGUUCAUCGAAGAAUGUUCUUUUGGCUCUGCUCGGCAUGCUGCCCUUGAAUUCUUUGACUCUUGUGUUGAUAAGGUAUCAAGUAUGUCCCUUCUCUAUGUGCCCAGUGGUCUCUGCUCUCCUUCUGCUUCUCUCUUGCCCACAGGCUACUGUAAACCCAAAUAUGUCUCAGCUGUGACAGGGAGGGCACCCCUGGAGUCACGAGCACACAGCGUGUGCCACUGGCUUCCUCUGCGAAGUAUCGUCCCAUUCUCAACUCUGUCCCCCAGCCGGGUCUUCAGGACUCCUUCCCUGCGGACGUGCUUUCCUGGAAGAUGCCAUAUUCCGGACGUCUGGCAUGCUCCAUGCCCACUGUCUUUUUAUUUUAUUUUUUGCGGUACUGAGGAUCGCACCUACGAGUGCUCUGCCACGGAGCUGCCUCCCCGAUUCUUUUUAUUUUUCAUUUUGAGGCAGGGUCUUACUAAGUUGCCAAGGCUGGCCUCAACUUUCAGUCCUGCCUUGGCUCCCAAGUCACUGGGGUACAAGUUGCGUAGCACCCUGCACCUGCCAUGCCUGUCGUCUGACGCUGCGUGCUCCCCUUGCUGUUCAGGUCCACCCGGAGCAGGAGAAGCCCGAGACAGCGCCCUUAGUGGAGCUGGAAGAACUCUCGGGAAGCGAGCUCACUGUCUUUAUCACCCCCCCUGAGGAGCCCCCCGCACCAGAGGGCAGUGAAUCCACUCCCCAGUACUGGUGAGAGAUUUUGUCCCCUCCUGUGUCCCAAGUGGACCCUUGGAUGGUCCACUUCAGGUGCCUGGCCCUGUAUUGAUAUCGGCUCUCUCUGCCCCUCAGCUAUGAUGGGUUCCCAGAAUUACGGGCUGAGCUAUUUGAGUCUCCUCAAGAGCAACCAGGGGCCCUGCCUGUGCCAGGCCCAUCCCGUAGCGCCCCCAGCAGUCCUGCCCCUCGCCGUACCAAACAGGUAAGCAGCUCUUGGACCCCACGGGGAACCUGGCUCAGGCCGAGGGCGGCUGCUUCGUUUCUCCGUCUGUGAAAUGAGAUGAGGCGGCGGCCUUCCCGUAGACCGUAGGGAAUUCACUGUGCCUGCCGUUGUCAUCACCAGCACCCUCCCAUCGUCACUUCUGGGAAUCCAGAGGCUGGUGGCUCUGUCCAGGGCCCCUGCCGGUGCUCAGGAGCCACAGCCUGUCGGUACAGCCACCUCCUCAGGCACAGAGCGUCCUUCAGGGGAGCGCUGCUUCUCCGACCUCCCUGGCAUCGUGUUCACCCUGUUGUGUCCUCUGCCCCACCUAGGAGAUGAAGGUGGCGCAGCGGAUGGCACAGAAGUCAGCGACGGUGCCCGAGCUGUGGGCCCGGUGCCUGCUGGGCCAUUGCUACGGGCUGUGGUUCCUGUGUCUUCCGGCCUAUGUGCGGUCAGCACCCUCCCGGGUGCGGGCGCUGCACACAGCCUACCAUGUGCUGCGUGAGAUGGAGAGCCGCAAGGUGGUGCUCCCCGAUGAGGUGGGCGCCAUUUACCAUGCGGCCACCUGCAGCCAUGGGGGCUGCGAGAGGGAAGCUUGUGGGAGUUGAAGAAAGCAGAUGGGGAGCCCCAGGGCUGGGCAGAUGCUCCUCAGCAUUCACUGUGAGCGCGGUCACAUCAGCACUCACUAAGGGGACUGCAGGGUAGCAGGGUCAGCAGAGCCGCAGGGGCCAGUGAGGAGUGCAGGAACUGAGAAGGCUGGAGGGCGGGCUGGAGGGAGGCUGCUGCCAUUCCGUGCCUCUCGGCCUAGGUGUGUUACCGGGUGCUGAUGCAGCUCUGCUCCUACUACGGGCAGCCCGUCUUGUCUGUGCGGGUCAUGCUGGAGAUGCGACGGGCAGGCAUCGUGCCCAACACCAUCACCUAUGGUUACUACAAUAAGGUACCUAGUUUGGGGUAGGACGGCUGGCAGGCUGGACCAGGUGUGCGUGGGGAGGACGUCGUUCCCUGACCCCUGCUUCCCCGUCUUGGAGACUGGGCUUGUGCAGCUCCACUGGGUCCUGGGACCAUUGUCCUCCAUCGCCGCCUCUUGUAGCCUAGGCACCAGCAAAUGGCUUUUUGGUUUUUUGUUUUCAUCUUAGCUUCUUUUAUUCCCCAUCGCAACAGCCUGACUGUAGCUCAUAGUACCGGCCGUGUGUCCGGCACUCUUCUGAAUACAUCAUACAUUUUUAAAAACUUCACAUUAUACGUUUUAAAUAACUUUAUAUUCACCAUCCCCCUGGGGUAGGAGGAUCACCCCCGUCUCAUAGAUGAGGAGAUGAGUUACAGAAAAUUCAUAACUUGCCCAAAGUACCAUAGUGGACGAGUUGGGGAGUUAGAAUAUGAGCAAAGGCAUAUUCCUGUUUCCCAGAUUCAGCCCCUUCACCAUGAUACUGAACAUCUCCUGCUUUUCAGAUGAGGAAACUUAAUGACCGAAAUCUGAAAUGAUUUCUUCAAAGCCACACAGUUUAUAAGUAGUAGAGUCUGAUUAAGAACUUCCUCCAUUACUCUGGGCUUCUCGCAGGUCCUCUCAGGAUAGUUGCUCACAAUUACCCUUGUUCCUGGCUGAGCCAUUGGUCAGGCAGUCCUAGGCAGGAUGUGUGGAGGGAAGGUGGUCCCUGGGGCUCGAGGACAGGAGGUGGGCAUCAGGCUGGGGUCAGGGUGCUGGAAGGAGGCCAUCCUGAUGGGCGCUGUACUUGGCAGGCUGUGCUGGAAAGCAAGUGGCCAUCUGGUACACCAGGUGGACGCUUGCGUUGGGCCAAGCUCCGGAAUGUUGUCCUGGGGGCUGCUCAGUUCCGUCAGCCUCUGAGAGACCGGCAGCGGCGGCAGCAGCAGCAGCAGCAGCAGCAGGUGUCAGCACACCAAGAGGCUGGCAGUUCCCAGACAGGUGGGCAGGGACUGGUGAGCAGGCUUAGGGAGGGGCAGCAGGCUCUUGGAGAGCCAGAGCUGGCUUCGCGGUCGGCAUGGGCUUUCAGAGAAUGGCUAAGCUACACUCAACUGGUAACAAAAGAGAGAAAGUUCUGCCUGUGGGGAACCCUGCCAAGCCAGGUCCCUCCGCGGAGGUCUGUUGGGGUUUCUAGCUCGCGGCCUCUAAAUCCCUUCUCUGUCCUCCAGAGUCCUAUCUGGAACGCCCUUCCCCGACCCGUCCCCUUCAGCGCCAGACGACUUGGGCUGGGCGAAGUCUGAGGGACCCGGCCUCACCCACUGGGCGCCUAGUGAAGAGUGGCAGUUUGGGCAGUGCCCGAGGAGCCCAGCCCACUGUAGAGGCCGGUGUGGCCCACAGUAAGUGCCCUGGUCUGGUCCUCCUCUUCUCUUCCCCACAGUCAGUUUUCCUAACCACUUGCAAGAAAGGAGAAGAACCAGGGCCAGAAUUCUGGAAAAGUGGGCCUGUGUGGUGGGUAACUGUGUACUCUGAGGAGUCAAAAUGUCGUGGUGGGGUCAAGUGUCAGAGUUUACACAGCCGGAAUCGUGUUACUCAAGAAGCAGGCAGCUGGAGGAGAGGCUGGCCUCCGCCUUCCCUGAUUCUUUUUUUGUCCUGCAGUGAUAGAGGCUUUAGGGGUCCUGGAGCCCCGGGGAUCACCUGUGCCCUGGCAUGAUGGAAGUCUCUCAGACCUGAGCCUGACAGGGGAGGAGCUGGCACCUGGAGGCAGUCCAGGCGGCUCAGGCUUGGCCCUGAGUGCCCAGUCCACUGAGGCCCUGGAAGGGCUGAGUGUGCGAGGGCCCAAGGCUAGUGGGCGUCAGGAUGAGGCAGCCACCCCCCGACGAGGGCUGGGUGCCCGCCUCCAGCAGCUGCUCACUCCUUCCCGCCGCUCCCCUGCUGCCCGCAUUUCCCCAUCAGAGAUGCCCCCUGACCUGCCUCCCCCUGCCCGUCGCAGCCCAAUGGAGAGUCUUCUGAGGCCCCGGGAGCGACCUGGAUCCACUGCAUCGGAGGUAGCCAGCCCCGAAGCUUCAGGAGGCCCCAGGAGGGGCCUGCAGGGUCGUUAGAGCUGGCAUCCCUGCUGGAGAGGAGCGCGGAGCCAGCUGACAGGGUUUCCUUGUGUGAUGGCAGAGCUCAGCCUCUCUGGGCAGUGAGUGGGACCUCUCAGAGUCUUCUCUCAGUAGCCUGAGCCUCCGCCGUUCCUCAGAGCGCCUCAGUGACACCCCUGGAUCCCUCCAGCCACCUUCCCUGGAAGUGAGGAUAACCGCCCCCCUGCAGUCUUCCCGGGAAAGGCAGGGUGGGGAGGAGGUCAAGGAGGGCUGGCUGGGAUUUGGAGGUGGAAGGGCCAGGAGAGGGGCACUGAAGGCUGAGCCAGGCCUACUUCCUGGGGUCUCCUUGUCCACAGAUUCUGCUCUCCAGCUGCUCCCUGUGCCGUGCCUGUGACUCACUGGUGUACGAUGAGGAAAUCAUGGCUGGUUGGGCACCUGACGACUCUAACCUCAACACAACCUGCCCCUUCUGCGCCUGCCCUUUUGUGCCCUUGCUCAGUGUUCAGACCCUUGAUUCCCGACCCAGGUGCCCAAAUCAGGGCAAGUGCCGUGGGUGGGACAGGAAGGCAGUGGUCCAAGAGCUGACCCCUUCUGCUGUCCCCUUGCAGUGCCCCCAGCCCCAACCCUGCCCCUGCUGGUGCCAGCAGCAGCAAAGACGCCCCUGUUCCUGGGGGUCCUGGCCCUGUGCUNGGAAAGAUACAGAGCUACUGAGCCUUUGCCCAGAUGAGAGGGGGGAUCUCAUCCCACCAGUGGUGGUCCCCCUUCCCUGGCGUUGCUGAAGGAGCCCAAGGCUCUCCAUGCCUUUCUACCUUAGUGUUUGUAUUUUAUUUUAAGUUAUUUAUUCUGGAGCCACAGCCCCCUUGCUAAUGAGGCUCUAAUGGAGAGUGAGAAAGAGAAGGGAAAUGGGGCACCGAGGUCUGUAGCUCCCUGAAAGCCAGGCAGUGGGAGCCAGGGGAGCCCCAGGACCCCCUGAGGAAGAACUGGUGCCUCCUGCAGUCCUGAUCUUUCCUGUCCACUCCAUCUUGGGAAGCGCCCCACCCACCCAGGGCCCUGACCUGUGCAAUAAGAAUUGUCCCCUGCAAAGUUUUGUUGUAUGUAAAUAUAGUAAAAGCUGCUUCUGUCUUUUUCCUUCUGUCUCCCUUUUCCUGGGUCUGGAUGAUAGUGGGGGAUGCUUAUGCUGCGCCUUUCUCUUUUCCACCUCUGUCCUUUGCAACCUUCAGGUAUACCCUGCUUCUCCUGGCCCCUUGGUCUGGUACUGGCCCCUUGGGGCACAGGGAGUUCUUAGAGCAGGAUGGGGGGGAAUCUGGUGCUGCUAUGGCAGUGCCAGUCUGUGUGGCACUUCCAGCCCUCCCACACAAUCACCCCCUUGUCCCUCAUCUGUACCCCACACAAAGGCUCCAUUCUCUGGGGGCCUUGAGCUCAUCUUUGCCUUAUUUCCUCUCCCCUAACUUGCCCCCCGACUUCUCCAGUACCUCCACAGAGAUGACAACCCUUUCCCCAGUAGUUGGUGUUGGCGGCCCUCACGUGUCCUGGGGGACUUGGCAUUCAGUCAUUCUCGUCCUCCCUAGUUGCUCUAUUUGCAGGCAGUAUUCUUCUGCUCAGGGUCUCAGCCUGGGGACAGCACUGGAAAGAAAGGGGCUUCUUGUGCUGUGAACAUCAGGGAGAUGGGCAUCAUUUUCUAAUCCCUUGGCCCACUCAACGCUCUCCUUUUUUUCCCUAUAUAAGAAAUAAACAGGAAACAAUUCCUAACAGAGCUGCAAAACCAUUUACCAAAGGGAGUCAGCUAACAAAACAAAUGCCUUGGGAAGGAGGGCUGCAGUAUCAAUGGGGGAAGUGACUUACAUUAAUGUUUAGUGUAAAUCCCUGGGCGAUGGAGAUCAGUGGGUGAAAAGAGAAGUACUACUUCUGAAUGCCGGGACCUUCAUGCAGAGGACCCUUCCCCAUCCUGCCUUGAUGCUUUUCCAGUCCUUAAAAGAGCUGCAAAGGAGGAAACCAAAGGGCUUAGGAAAUGCCACCAUCUGUCUUGCUAGAUGAUGAUCUCUUCAGAGGUCACCCUAGUUUCUGAUUAGACCCCACUCAUCAGAAUCGACUCCCUAUUUUGUCCCUAAGGCCUAAGGACCUUUAGUAAGGGUGGACUUGCCUGUGUGUGUGUGUGUGUGUGUGUAGUGGUGGUGAUGCCGGGGAUCAAAUUCAGGCCUCAUUCAUGCUAGGCAAGUGCCCUACCAGUGAGCUAUGCCCCUAGCUUACAGACCUGCCCUCUUACAAUUAAUUUGGGUAUAGUAUACUCAGUACUGCACUUAACUAUAGUGAGAAAAUUUUAGGGCCCAGUCCCUGCCCAAGUAGAGCAUACUAUCUUACUAGUCUAGCAUGCCCUUUGGUUCCACAGUAAGAACUCUGCCUUCCAGCUUAUGCCUCUCAUUUUUGAGAAGUUAGAUAAGAGAACUACAGAAUUUCAUAACUACAGAUUAUCGGGAAUUCCAAUAGCAACUUAUGAUACCAUAAUAUCUGAUAUCUGUCCUGUGGCCUAGGGAGCUUUCUGAGGGAAAGGAUAUGUCUAAAUUGCCUGGGUCAGUUUCUUUUUCCAGACUUCAGAGUAUAAAUCUUGUCUCUGUCACUUACUAAUCUUAUGAUGUCAGACAAGUAACUUAACUGCUAUGCCUUAUUUUUUUCUCAUCUGAAUGUGGGGAGGGGGGUCAUUUAAAGACUAAUUAUAUUAUCCAUAUGAAAUGUUAAGCACAUUCAAUAAAUGUUAGCUUCAAAAAGGCAAGUAGUGCAUGUCUGUAAUUCCU